rnacentral:rRNA from 1 species
AACGAACGCUGGCGGCAUGCCUAACACAUGCAAGUCGAACGAGACCUUCGGGUCUAGUGGCGCACGGGUGCGUAACGCGUGGGAACCUGCCCUUAGGUUCGGAAUAACUCCCCGAAAGGGGUGCUAAUACCGGAUAAUGUCUUCGGACCAAAGAUUUAUCGCCUUUGGAUGGGCCCGCGUUGGAUUAGCUAGUUGGUAGGGUAAAAGCCUACCAAGGCGACGAUCCAUAGCUGGUCUGAGAGGAUGAUCAGCCCCACUGGGGCUGGGACCCGGCCCAGACCCCCACGGGAGGCAGAAGUGGGGAAUAUUGGACGAUGGGCGAAAGCCUGAUCCAGCAAUGCCGCGUGAGUGAUGAAGGCCUUAGGGUUGUAAAGCUCUUUUACCCGGGAUGAUAAUGACAGUACCGGGAGAAUAAGCUCCGGCUAACUCCGUG